rnacentral:lncRNA from 1 species
AAGAAGAGAUGUUCAACUCUGCUCCCAAGAAUGCCAUAUGAGUUCCCUGGGCCCUGUUGGGAGAUAAUAAAAGAACCACCCACCUCCUCAAGGCUUGCUUUCUCAGGAAAGGCACUUACCCACCAGAGGGUGGGAAAAAAGAGGACUGACGGAAGUAGGAGCUGCAAGGCAUAAAGGAUUAUCUGCCACCUGCUGAUUGAUUCUGCUCCUUUGCAGCAAAGACUGACACUAAGCGUCUUUCAAAUGGGAAGCAAAGGGUGAGUGAAUUCACAACCACUUUUGUGGUAGUGGAGAGAAAAGGCUGAACUUCCUUUAGGAAUGGUCAAAUCCCCCCAGGCCACUUGGAAUCUAUGCUGGCAAGAUAAGCAAAAUGCAAUGCCAACUUCAAAUUACUCCAAUUGCAGAUGUCAUUGCUUGUCAGUGGAGAUGAUCCUCUUCCACGGGAGAUUAGGAAGAUGAGAUCAGAAGGAACUGGUAUUUCUCUGGCAUUCGAACAGCAUUGAGUUGGCUUGAUUUUUGAGUCUGGACAACAGGAAGACAUGAGUGAUUUUUAGUGAUGGAAUUAAAGUCUGUCAGCAUGUCAGUAGGAUGCUUCAGAACAGGUGACCAGAGCAUGUUUGGUGGCAGUUAAGAACUGGCCCUGUCUCAGCCCUUUUCCCUUAGUCUCUCUUCCUUGAAGCAAAGACCAUACCACAGGCGUCACCCUGACAGGUGGCCGACUCAACACAGCCUGGAGUGAUUAAGUGCUUUAGAAUUGCAGCUUCCCAAAUGGGCUGAUUCCUUUGGCAGAUACAGCCAGGUGUGGCAGCCUGCUCUCAAGCCAAGCACAAAUCAGAAAGGGUUUGUUUUUUGCUGGGUUUGAUUCAUAAUGUAGUUUGUAAACUGGCCAGAUACAGCCUACAGUCUUUUUUUUUUUUUUUCUGUUCGACAUGAUUUUUUCAAAAUUUAAUUUGGACCAGUGUUUGUAAAUGCUAGUGUCUGUUCCCCCUCUCCCUCUAGACAGUUUGCCUUGGCUGCCAGCACUCACACUGCACAUGGAUGUGCUCUUACACCUAGGGCCAUCUGACCUCAGACCUCCUUUGGUGUGCAGGCAGCUGCCAAC